rnacentral:rRNA from 1 species
ACAUGCCUACAACAUAAUGUUAAUGUAUUGGAUCCCAUUAGAACUCCGAAGUUAAGCACACUCAGGCUAGAGUAGUAUUGUGAUGGGUGACCACCUGGGAAGUCCUAUUAUUUUACAUGCC